AACUGAGUAUCUGUCCAACACACUUACGGAUAUAGUCGCUUUGUUCGUUUUACGUAAUGUUAUGCAGAAAACAAAAUAUUAUAGAUAGAUCAUUAUAGAAUAUUUAAUAUUUUGCCUGUAGACGUUGUUUAAAGUGAUGCAUAAAUUUAUUUUAUUUUCAAUAAUUGGGAUAACAAUUUUACACAAAGCAAUCGGUACAGGAUGUUUGCAGUGUGUAAAUGGUAGUAUAAGCCCGCCAGGAGUAAUCUUUGUUAUACCUGAUAUUGUGGAAAAAUUGAAAAACCCACAAUGUGCCAACGCAACGUCGGAAACUAAUGCAACAAAUGUAAUAUUUGGCCCAUGUCCAAACGAUCCAACUGACAACCGGAUAAACAGAUGUGGUACUCUCCGUGGAAGUGUUAAGUUGUCAGUGUCUCCUAUGGAAGCUACAGUGACGUUUUAUUUAAGAGAUUGUUUUGCGGUGAAUAAAAACUCAGAGUCUGGAUGUUACACAGACCAGAAUAUCUUAAAUGACCAGAAAGCUAUCUUUGAAAAGAAAUUUGAAGAUGUUCUUAAAAAAUAUGGUGUACGAGUUGGAGAUAUACAAAAUGGACAGUUCUGUAUCACUCACAGUGGUACCAAUAAGUCGUGCACAUUAAUGUAUUCAUCAGUAUGGUUGCUAAUCAUUUUAAUGCUGUCACACCUUAUCAGCCAAUUUCAUAACACAUGCAGCUUAUGAGUAAUAAUUUUUUUUCUCCAGUUCUCUUUUUUUUGUGCAAUUUAGUUAAUACACACAUUGUACUCAAUAGUUCAAGUGCAAUGAGUUGCCUAAUUUGAAUUUGAAUUGGAAGGUAUUAAAUACAUAAAGCAUUGUAUAUCUAUCUGCA